CAAUAGCGUAUAUUAAAGUUGUUGCGGUUAAAAAGCUCGUAGUUGGAUUUCUGCUGAGAACGACCGGUCCGCCCUUUGGGUGUGUAUCUGGCUCUUUCUUGGCAUCUUCUUGGUGAACGUUGCUGCACUUGACUGUGUGGAGCGCUACCCAGGACUUUUACUUUGAGGAAAUUAGAGUGUUUCAAGCAGGCAUACGCCUUGAAUACAUUAGCAUGGAAUAAUAAGAUAGGACCUCGGUUCUAUUUUGUUGGUUUCUAGAACUUAGGUAAUGAUUAAUAGGGACAAUUGGGGGCAUUUGUAUUAACACGUCAGAGGUGGAAUUCUUGGAUUGUGUUACGACAAACUACUGCGAAAGCAUUUGCCAAGGAUGUUUUCAUUGA
rnacentral:rRNA from 1 species